UGAAUGCUGGCGGCGUGCCUCAUACAUGCAAGUCGAGCGCACAGACGAGGAGCUUGCUCCUCUGACGUUAGCGGCGGACGGGUGAGUAACACGUGGAUAACCUACCUAUAAGACUGGGAUAACUUCGGGAAACCGGAGCUAAUACCGGAUAAUAUAUUGAACCGCAUGGUUCAAUAGUGAAAGACGGUUUUGCUGUCACUUAUAGAUGGAUCCGCGCCGCAUUAGCUAGUUGGUAAGGUAACGGCUUACCAAGGCAACGAUGCGUAGCCGACCUGAGAGGGUGAUCGGCCACACUGGAACUGAGACACGGUCCAGACUCCUACGGGAGGCAGCAGUAGGGAAUCUUCCGCAAUGGGCGAAAGCCUGACGGAGCAACGCCGCGUGAGUGAUGAAGGUCUUCGGAUCGUAAAGCUCUGUUAUUAGGGAAGAACAAAUGUGUAAGUAACUAUGCACGUCUUGACGGUACCUAAUCAGAAAGCCACGGCUAACUACGUG
rnacentral:rRNA from 1 species